UCAAUGCAGAUCUGAACACGGAAGAAUAGCCUGGAACAAUUUUUUCUUAAUCUUUACGAUUUACCCUUUUAAUUUAUCCUCACAUGUUGGACAAAAGUAACUUCUAUUAAACAGAAUUGUUUUUGUUAAACUUUCAGCCUCGAGUUCAAGUUCAAGUUUGGUCUACUUUUUAUUCUAUUGAAUGGAUCAGUCAUCUUUUCUGAUGACAGGAGGCUGGGUUUCUCAGUGGUCCUUCGUCCACAUUCCAUGACUCUUCUUCUCACCAUAACUCGGAGAUAUGUAGUUGGCCUGGCUGUGGACUGGUCUGGAGAUCAUGUCACUUUCCAUCUUAUUUUUGAAGAUUACUAGAAGAAGAAGCAGGCUGCCGAGGAGCGGACCAGAGGAGGACCAGAACCCCAACCCUGCUUAACAUCAUCAUCUUCAGGACUGAGAGCUGACCUGGUUCAAGAAGAUGUUCCAACAGCUCCAACAGUUGAACAGAAACGGCAGCGUGAAGGAAAGACCAUGAAUUGUACAUUCAUGUGUGAAUACUUGAUCUACAGCUAUGAAGGAUAAUAUCUGCAGUGUGAACUUUGCUCACAUGUUCCUGCUGCUUAAAAGCUGUUUGAUUUCUAUUUAUUGUCAACAUGUUACAUUUAGUGUUCAAUCAAUGUUCUGGUCUCUGGAAAGAUCCUAGACAACUUGUCUUGUAAUGG